GAGAGUAUAGCUCAGUGGUAAAGUGCAUGCUUAGCUAGCAUGCGGUCCUGGGUUCAAUCCCCAGUACUUA
rnacentral:tRNA from 1 species